GUGUUUAAUGCCCCUCCCUACCCUCCAUCUUGAGAGUUUGGCACACACAUCAGUUCUAGAUCAGCAUAGAUUCCUGGGAGAGAUAAAGCUCGCCACAAACCUCCAUCUCACUGCUCUGCCUUCCUUUCCUCUUCAUAAGUGGCACCAGCAGAGCACAGAAAAACAAAUGGUUUCAAGAACCUGGAGCUGGAUUCCUUUUCUGAUUUGUGGUCAGUGGAAGAAAAGGGAGCUGUAGGGUUCCUGACAAGGUAGAUGAGAGAAAAUACAAGAACCAGCUGCAGAAGGUGGAUGGUAUUCACUGGGCAGGGAAACUGCAUGGACUUUUUCCCUAAAAAAUUAGCUGGAGCAGAAAGAAAUGAAAAAAUUCAUUUUUUUUCAAGCAAGAAAGCAGGAUAUCAACCUUUUGCAGUUAUUUGAAGAGGAGCUAAAAGGCAGAAGAGAUGCAUGAAGACUUCAAGAUUUUUACCUAGAGAUGCAGAGAGAGCCUUCAGCUAGGAAAAAUAGUUAAAUAAUUUUGGAAAAUAUGGACAAUUACUCUCCAGGCCAUCUUUUCAACUGACUAGAAACCUGCACUCUCUGAAGUUCUGAAUCAG